UGGCAGCUCUGUCCAGAGCAGUGCUCCCUGAAAGCACCAGGUCCCUGUCCCUGAGGUAAAGUAUAUGCAGGAACAAGCUCAGACCUGCAGCUGAAGAAGGUCUUCAGCAAUCUUGGAGGAUCACAUGGUGAAGAAUAUUUUCACUUAUCCAGAGCAGUGUUAGCCAACAGGACUAAGAAGCAGGACAGGAAGGCAGCAGGCAGACUGCAAAACAGACUGUGCAAAGACUGCAGAGAGAUCCCUGGAAAAUGGCAGGAUGACUUUGCUCUAGGAUGAAAAGUGAGGAACAGCUUUCUGAGUAUGUGAGAAGAUAGUUACCCAUCCUACAAGUUAUGUGCUGCUGCAUUUUGAUAUCUUUGUUCAUAUGAUAAAGGCAUCCAUGUUGAUCUGUUCUUGAAAUAAAAUCAGUAUUUCACAGGAAAGGAAAUGUCUU
rnacentral:lncRNA from 1 species